rnacentral:rRNA from 1 species
GACGAACGCUGGCGGCGUGCUUAACACAUGCAAGUCGUACGGUAAGGCCCUUUAGGGGGUACACGAGUGGCGAACGGGUGAGUAACAGGUGAGUAACCUGCCCACAACUUUGGGCUAACGCUAGGAAACUGGUGCUAAUACUGGAUAUGCGCUCCUGCUGCAUGGAGGGGGUUGGAAAGUUCCGGCGGCUGUGGAUGGACUCGCGGCCUAUCCGCUUGUUGGUUGGGUAGUGGCCUACCAAGGCGGCGACGGGUAGCCGGCCUGAGAGGGUGACCGGCCACAUUGGGACUGAGAUACGGCCCAGACUCCUACGGGAGGCAGCAGUGGGGAAUAUUGCACAAUGGGCGCAAGCCUGAUGCAGCAACGCCGCGUGCGGGAUGACGGCCUUCUGGUGGUAAACCGCGUUCAGCAGGGACGAAGCAUUUUGUGACGGUACCUGCAGAAGAAGCACCGGCUAACUACGUG